AGGUUUCCACCAGGAUGUAUAUGAAAAGCAACUAGUGAUGUUGAAGAAGCUCCCUUGCCAUUUUAGUGGCUCUUUUAAAGUUCUCAUAAAAAUUAGGGGCAAUUGGGAUUGAAAUGAGCCAAAAUGUACAAACAUUUAAAUGACCUGGUUUUGUAAAGGAUGAGAACUCUGUGCUUUGAGGCUCAUGACAACUGAAAUGGCAAGAUUAAAUAAUGAAUCCAGAGAUGCAUUCAUAAUGCAUGUUUUUGGUUGUUUUUUUUUCAGAUCAGCCUUUCAUGCCUGCUUUAAGAUUUCCCACUGGACCUGUUCAGAUCUGUUGUAUAGCUGACAGAUAUCUUACCUGUGUGAACUUCAAGGAUUAGGUGGUAAUAGAUAGAUACCAAUUCUACCAAACUCAGGGAGAAGAUGGAUUAAAUUGGUUCUUGUAAUUGAAGAAUGAGUUGGACAGCUAAGUUAUAAGUUAGGAAAAGAUACAACUUAGUUACAGGAAUCCUGGAAAUACAGGGAAAGGUCAAUAUUAGUUAUAUGGGCAAAAUGAGAAUUUUCUACAAGAGGAGUGUGAGGCAGACCAUUUACAGAUAUCCACUACAUUGCAAAAAGUGCAUUAUUUAACAAUCAUCCAGAAAGACCUUGUGGCACUAUAGGUGGGAAGAUCUGGGGUACAGGCACCAUGAUUACAUGUAAUCAAUGAAGGUAUCACAAUAGUGCACCAUUGGCAUCUGAAAAAUCUCUCUGCAAACUCUUAGUAGUCAGGGGGUUUAUAUACAUGACAUUGCUAUUCAAAUACUUUAAUUCAAUUCAGUGGUUAUCUGCUCCCUUCUCACUACUUCAAAAACACAAGCAGCCCUCUGUGGUGGCAUAUACCUUUAAUCUCAGCACCCCAGAGGAAGAAUCAGGAGGAUUUGGGGUUAUAAAUGAGUCCUGGCUACAGAGUAAGUUUGUGUGCAGCCUGACCUAGAUAGUAAGAUCUUGUCUCUAAACAGUAACUAACCCAUCAAACAACAACAAUAACAAAAUACCCACAAAAUAAAAGGGGAUAGUAAUAUUUGAUGUUCUAUUUUUGAUUUAUAUAUAGUUUGUAAACAUUUUGAAAGUGGCUUAAUUAUAGUCUGAAGAAGGAUGAAAAUGUCAGCAAGCUGUGUAACAGUUUCCUCUGAGAUUGAAACUUUCCACCUUGCAGGUAAACUCUUUAAACCGGAAGAUAAACAACUCAAAAUAGUUUCAGGAAGUCCCUGAAAUAGAGCAGAUUGACUAGGCCCCUCCCUGCCAGAGUAAGCAAUAAAAGCCAAGAGUCCCCCUCAAAGGAGCAAAGCCAACCUGCAAAGAAGAAUCUCAACAUAGUCAAGCUGCAAAGAAGACUUUGUCACAGACCUCUUGCCUGGUAGAAGCAGAAACCCAUCAAACUGCCUGGAAGAGGUUUGGAGCAACUGAGGUUCCUGGAAAGGGCACACUCCAACUGUUGGCUGACUGGAAGUUGUGACAUGUUCCAGUUCCCUGCUUUGUGAGCUGCCACCCAUAAUAGGGUGGGCUUUGGUGAUGCAGCUGUCUUCGAGUCACUUCUGUUCCUGUAAAUAACCAUCACCCAUAUUCCUCGUUGCUUUUAGGAGCCUUGCUGACCCAGGCUGCAACAUCACUGAAAAGUUCCACCCCAACAUGAUUUACAACUCUGAAUGCCUGCGUCACUAGAGUCCCCUGCACAGUACCGGGCAGUCAGCUACACCACUCAAUGGAAGAGUCCUCUCCUCCAUUGCUGGUCCCUGAUCACAUGGCUUAAAGGGUUCUUCUUGAAUAUCAUUGCAUGGAGACGCCCCCAUGAGCAUUCUUCAACUUCCAGGUAAAGAUGGAGAAUUGAGCAAAUGCACUUUCUCUACACUCUUCUCAAACUCACUGAGUUGCAGUUAAUUAUAUUAUAUUAUCCCCCAGACUCACAAAAACAAAGAUAAUAAGAGGCAUUGAAGUCAAACAGACAGAGUGAUGCUUGAAAAUAAUAAUAGAAAUCUACAUGCAUGUACACAC
rnacentral:lncRNA from 1 species